rnacentral:rRNA from 1 species
AACGAACGCUGGCGGCAUGCCUAACACAUGCAAGUCGAACGAGACCUUCGGGUCUAGUGGCGCACGGGUGCGUAACGCGUGGGAACCUGCCCUUAGGUUCGGAAUAACUCCCCGAAAGGGGUGCUAAUACCGGAUAAUGUCUUCGGACCAAAGAUUUAUCGCCUUUGGAUGGGCCCGCGUUGGAUUAGCUAGUUGGUAGGGUAAAAGCCUACCAAGGCGACGAUCCAUAGCUGGUCUGAGAGGAUGAUCAGCCACACUGGGACUGAGACACGGCCCAGACUCCUACGGGAGGCAGCAGUGGGGAAUAGUGGACAGUGGGCGAAAGCCUGAUCCAGCAAUGCCGCGUGAGUGAUGAAGGCCUUAGGGUUGUAAAGCUCUUUUACCCGGGAUGAUAAUGACAGUACCGGGAGAAUAAGCUCCGGCUAACUCCGUG